CAAUUGGAGGAAAAGGCGCUUUUUAGAGAUCACUGCAAAUACGUUAUAAAGUUUUAUCGUUCUAAGAUCCUUUCGUUGCAAAACGCUCCCCGUCUCUAUCUUUAUUAUCAAAAGUGAAAGAUACGAUUUUAUCUUGGCAGUCUCUUGCGGAUAAACGAAGACAUUGUAUCAUAUGCUAUUGAAAAUAAAAGAUACUUUAUUUUUUCACUUAAAAACACAAGACAAUGUCGUUGGUUGUUCUAGUUUCAAACUACCGACUCAGAUAUCCAUCGCGAAAGAAUGCUGAUCCGUUUGGGAAUUUGUGAUCCCCUCGGGAAAGAAUGCCAUUCAACACAAGCAUUUGUCUAUCGAUCGAAGCGGAAAGUUUUGAAUAAAGGCAAAAGCGUACAAAAAACAUGAUUUAUAGUCCUGCGAUAUUACCGUAAUGUUUUAUGAAUAAAAACGCGCACCAAGAAAACGGGGAACGAGCUCUUCCGCAGGUAGGAAGCAGAUUAUGUUAACUAUUUAUAACGAAUUCAUUUUUCAUCGCAUUUCCAGCUUUUACAUUAAUGUGCUAUCAAUUUCAGCUUUUCUUAUGAUAAAAUUAGCUGAAAAAUGUAUUAAUCUUGCUAUUUAUGUAUUUAUAUUAUUUUAUAGUAUGCGGGUAGAUUCUUUUCAGCUUGAAAAUCGAUUUAAUGAAAAAUUUGUUUCAAUCAACCUUUUUCAAUCGCUUAGAAAAUUGAAAAAUAUAAUUCAUGAAAUUUUUAUUCAUCAAAAAUUCUUU